rnacentral:rRNA from 1 species
UGGGGAAUUUUCCGCAAUGGGCGCAAGCCUGACGGAGCAACGUCGCGUGAGGGAGGAAGGCCUGUGGGUUGUAAACUUCUUUUCUCUAGGAAGAAGGUCUGACGGUACUAGAGGAAUCAGCAUCGGCUAACUCCGUGCCAGCAGCCGCGGUAAGACGGAGGAUGCAAGCGUUAUCCGGAAUUAUUGGGCGUAAAGCGUUCGUAGGUGGUUUUGUAAGUCUGCUGUUAAAGCGUGUAGCUCAACUACAUAUAGGCAGUGGAAACUACAAAACUUGAGUGCGUUCGGGGCAGAGGGAAUUCCUAGUGUAGCGGUGAAAUGCGUAGAGAUUAGGAAGAACACCGGUGGCGAAAGCGCUCUGCUAGGCCGCAACUGACACUGAGGGACGAAAGCUAGGGGAGCGAAUGGG